rnacentral:rRNA from 1 species
AACGAACGCUGGCGGCGUGCUUAACACAUGCAAGUCGAACGCGAAAGGGACUUCGGUCCUGAGUAAAGUGGCGCACGGGUGAGUAACGCGUAGAUAACCUGUCUUCAUGUCUGGAAUAAUACGCCGAAAGGGGUACUAAUACCGGAUAUUCUUGCUUUUCAUAAGUUAUGCAAGCAAAGGUGGCCUCUGCAUAUGCUACUGCAUGAAGAGGGGUCUGCGUACCAUUAGCUAGUAGGUGGGGUAAUGGCCUACCUAGGCGACGAUGGUUAGCGGGUCUGAGAGGAUGAUCCGCCACACUGGCACUGGAACGCGGGCCAGACUCCUACGGGAGGCAGCAGUGAGGAAUAUUGCGCAAUGGGGGAAACCCUGACGCAGCGACGCCGCGUGAGUGAAGGAAGGCCUUCGGGUCGUAAAGCUCUGUCAAGAGGAAAGAAGUGUACAAUGGCUAAUACCUGUUGUAUUUGACGGUACCUCUAAAGGAAGCACCGGCUAACUCCGUGCCAGCCGCAGC